UAUGACCUUUAUGAAGAAGCAUAACACAACCUUCAGAGAAAAGAAUAUUACUUCAGUGGCUGGCUCAUCUGGUGGGUGUAUGUUUCACAAUUUAAGAAACCGUGGGACUCUCUUCCAGAGUGUUUGUACCAUUUUACAUUCCCACCAACAGUGUAUGAGGGUUCCAUCUCCUUGUGUGAGGAGGUAUACCUGGUACUUUUGUAUCAAAAUGAGAAAUGCUGUUGGUAUGACAUAAGACUCAGUAUGUUGACAUUUGUAGAUGAAACUAAAAAUCACCUAUAACCUCACCCUCCCCCAUGCUUUUGCUGUAUUUUCCUGCAGGAUUUUUUCUGAACACUCACAAAUGGAAUGAAGGGUGUACCAUCACUGAGUCAUUCCUCUGCUAUCAGAUACUUGGAUCGUUUCUGAUUUUUUUUAGUUUUUUAAAUAAUAUUGCUAUGAGCAUAAUGCUAAAUAAAGUCUUUCGAUUUGGUUAUUUCAUUAGGAGUGGAAUUAGUUCAUUCGUAGAAGUAGAAUUAUUGGGGGCAAAGGCAUGAAGGUUAAGGUUAAGCUUCUUGGUGCACACUGUCGCAGAACCAGUAAGGUCUAUAUGCACAUUUACGUGUACACACAUGUGUGUGU